rnacentral:misc_RNA from 1 species
GAUGAAGAACGUAGCGAAAUGCGAUAAGUAGUGUGAAUUGCAGAAUUCAGUGAAUCAUCGAAUCUUUGAACGCACAAUGCGCCCUUUGGUAUUCCUUAGGGCAUGCCUGUUCGAGCGUCAUUUAAACCUUCAAGCUAAGCUUGGUGUUGGGUGACUGUCCGCUUCACGGCGGACUCGCCUCAAAAUUAUUGGCGGCCGGUACAUUGGCUUCGAGCGCAGCAGAAACGCGAACUCGGGCCCGUCGUAUUGGCUCCCAGAAGCUAUCUUCACAAUUUUGACCUCGGAUCAGGUAGGGAUACCCGCUGAACUUAAGCAUAUCAAUAAGCGGAGGA